GAUGAACGCUGGCGGCGUGCCUAAUACAUGCAAGUCGAGCGAACAGAUGAGGAGCUUGCUCCUCUGACGUUAGCGGCGGACGGGUGAGUAACACGUGGAUAACCUACCUAUAAGACUGGGAUAACUUCGGGAAACCGGAGCUAAUACCGGAUAAUAUAUUGAACCGCAUGGUUCAAUAGUGAAAGACGGUUUUGCUGUCACUUAUAGAUGGAUCCGCGCCGCAUUAGCUAGUUGGUAAGGUAACGGCUUACCAAGGCAACGAUGCGUAGCCGACCUGAGAGGGUGAUCGGCCACACUGGAACUGAGACACGGACCAGACUACUACGGGAGGCAGCAGUAGGGAAUCUUCCGCAAUGGGCGAAAGCCUGACGGAGCAACGCCGCGUGAGUGAUGAAGGUCUUCGGAUCGUAAAACUCUGUUAUUAGGGAAGAACAAAUGUGUAAGUAACUAUGCACGUCUUGACGGUACCUAAUCAGAAAGCCACGGCUAACUACGUG
rnacentral:rRNA from 1 species